UUACUUUUCGAGUUUCGAGUCGGUCAAUCUCUUUUCUUUCUGUUAACAAAUUACUUAUUAUUCUAUUCAAUUAACUAACUUUUCAAAUCCUCAUUAUUUCCAAUUGAGAUUUGAAUGAUGAUUUCUUUGGAGUUACGCUGAUUGAAUUUCUCUGAUUACAAAUUAGAAAAAUAACCUCUAACAACUCAUUCAACAAUAUUUCAACUCAACAUCAUUGUUAUGGAUUCAGGUUUUGUGAAGACAUGAAUAAAUGAUAAUUGAACUAAGUUCAAUUCAUUGUUCAAUUUAUUGAUCAGAAACUGAUCCACUCAUAACAGAACUUGAACAUGAAAAGUCUGCCAGUAAGAUCAAUAUUUUUACAUCACAUCUAUCCACCAUAGCUGCUAUUUUAAUUUGGCUAGUCAGGAUCAUAUUAUAAACACGCCGCUUUCAUCCUGGGUAUGCACUAGUUGACACAAAGCUGGAGGCCGGACGGGGUUCCAAGACUCCGUUUCUAACGAGUUGUGGAAAAUAUCAACACUUCAGAAGGUGAACGCUCUUAGACUGAAAGAAAUUGAUCGCCAAUCAAUCAAGCAAGCAGUCUUUCCUAUCAAUGAUUUCGGCAAGUCAGCAUCUGCAUUAUGUAUACAAUCAUACACCACAUUCAUCUUGUGUGUGCACUACUUGACACCAAGUGGGCGCUGGAGCUUCAAGACUUCGAUUCCAAUCAACUACAUAGUUGCGGACAAAUCAACACUUCGGAAGCUGAACGCUCAUGGAUUGAGAAGAUGGAUCACCAGCCAAUCAAGACAUCUACAUUAUCAAUGGUACUCAGUAUAUUUUCACAAUUCAUCGAAUCAUAGUGGAAUAGAAUCAGAUAAGUUAAAUGUAAAACAGGCCUUAGUUCAAUGAAUCAUCAUAAGUUGACCUAUGACCAGUAUCUAUUCUCAAUUGGAAAAUUGGAGAUUCUCAAUUCGAAAAUAAAGUGAUAUAAACUGUAUGAACCUAAUUCGAAUUACUUAAGUUCACUGAAUGAUAGAAACACCAUUAAGUUGAUAAUAAUGUGACCAAAACAAUCCAGAUGAUUGGAUUAAUAAAUGGAUAGAAAUUGCUGCAGUAAAUAAUAAUAAGGUUCCAAUUCCAGUCAUAAUUAGGUACUAAUUCUAGAAAAUAUUUUAGUAAAUAAUAAUGAGAUACUAGUUUUAGUCUCCAAAGUUUUCCACGAACAAAUACUUACACUUACUGAUUUUUUAUUGGACUAAGAUCUAUUUUGUUGUACUAGCAGAACAUGAAGUAAUGAACUAGCGUUAACUUAUAUAAGGUUCCUUGCAUUCCACUGUACAUACAUGAAUUAUAAAUAUGAAGAAAAUAAAAAUCUCAGUACCCUUUUUUUAAAAUAUUUUAUCACAACAUGUUUCGGUCAUUUUUAUGUCAUUUAUACAUGACUUAUAUUUAUUUAUUAUGAAGUUUCCUUAAAAACAAUUUUAAUUCUUAAGUAAAUAUUCUUUUAGUAUAGCAUUUUUAGAAAACUCACUGAAAGGAAGAAUACUUGUAUUUACAGUGAAAUGCAAGGCUUCAUCACUAUAAAGUAAUUUUAACUCAGCACUCACUUGAGUACUUUAUGUAAUGUUUAUUUAGACAAUUCUAGGUUCUAGAUCAGUGUUUUUGAACCUAUUUAAUACGGCACACUACUGUUAUGCAAAACGUCUGACUAAAGUUGUAUUGGAAAAAGAUCAAAAGAGAUUAUUCAUAAAAUGCAAAACCAAGAUACACAGAUCCUUCAUGUUACAACAGGAUAAUAAUUUCUUUACUAAUCCAUUCAAUACUCAGCAUAUCUUAUAAUGCUCUAAAAAUAUCCAAUCACUGA